rnacentral:tRNA from 1 species
AGGGGUACAGCUCAGCGGCACAGCUCCUGCCUCACAAGCACAAGGUCGUGGGUUCAAUUCCCAGUACCACAA